GAUGAACGCUGACAGAAUGCUUAACACAUCAGCAAUUGAUUGGUGGCGGACGGGUGGGUAACGCGUAAAGAACUUGCCUCCCCGCUAGGGACAACAUUUGGAAACGAAUGCUAAUACCUACUACUGUGCGAGAGCUUUGCGUCCCCUUAGCUAGUUGGAGAGGUAACGGCUCACCAAGGCGAUGAUGGGUAGCCGGCCUGAGAGGGUGAUCGGCCACAAGGGGAAUGGGACACGGCCCUUACUCAUACGGGAGGCAGCAGUGGGGAAUAUUGGACAAUGGACCAAAGUCUGAUCAAGCAAUUCGGUGUGAACGAUGAAGUUUUCGGAAGGUAAAGUGCUUUCAGUUGGGAAGCGGUACCAACAGAAGAAGUGACGGCUAAAUACGUGCCAGCCGCCGCGGUAAUAC
rnacentral:rRNA from 1 species